rnacentral:rRNA from 1 species
UUCAAAGAUCCCUUCGGGGUGAUUUGUUGGAUGCUAGCGGCGGAUGGGUGAGUAACACGUGGGCAAUCUGCCCUAAAGACUGGGAUACCACUUGGAAACAGGUGCUAAUACCGGAUAACAACAUGAAUCGCAUGAUUCAAGUUUGAAAGGCGGCGCAAGCUGUCACUUUAGGAUGAGCCCGCGGCGCGUUAGCUAGUUGGUGGGGUAAAGGCCUACCAAGGCAAUGAUGCGUAGCCGAGUUGAGAGACUGAUCGGCCACAUUGGGACUGAGACACGGCCCAAACUCCUACGGGAGGCAGCAGUAGGGAAUCUUCCACAAUGGACGCAAGUCUGAUGGAGCAACGCCGCGUGAGUGAAGAAGGUCUUCGGAUCGUAAAGCUCUGUUGUUGGUGAAGAAGGAUAGAGGCAGUAACUGGUCUUUAUUUGACGGUAAUCAACCAGAAAGUCACGGCUAACUACGUGCCAGCAGCCGCGGUAAUACGUAGGUGGCAAGCGUUGUCCGGAUUUAUUGGGCGUAAAGCGAGCGCAGGCGGAAUGAUAAGUCUGAUGUGAAAGCCCACGGCUCAACCGUGGAACUGCAUCGGAAACUGUCAUUCUUGAGUGCAGAAGAGGAGAGUGGAACUCCAUGUGUAGCGGUGGAAUGCGUGGAUAUAUGGAAGAACACCAGUGGCGA